UACCAGACUCCUACGGGAGGCAGCAGUGGGGAAUCUUCCGCAAUGGGCGAAAGCCUGGCGGAGCAACGCCGCGUGAUCGAAUGAAGGCCUUCGGGUUGUAAAGAUCUGUUGACAGGGACGAAUAAGCAAUGCGAAUAGUUUUGUGUAUGACGGUACCUGUUUAGAAAGCUCCGGCUAACUACGUGCCAGCAGCCGCGGUAAUACGUAGGGAGCAAGCGUUAUCCGGAUUUACUGGGUGUAAAGGGCGUGUAGGCGCGACUGCAAGUCAGAUGUGAGAAUUAUGGGCUCAACCCAUAACCUGCAUUUGAAACUGUAGUUCUUGAGUGAUGGAGAGGCAGGCGGAAUUCCGUGUGUAGCGGUGAAAUGCGUAGAUAUACGGAGGAACACCAGUGGCGAAGGCGGCCUGCUGGACAUUAACUGACGCUGAGGCGCGAAAGCGUGGGGAGCAAACAGGAUUAGAUACCCCGGUACAG
rnacentral:rRNA from 1 species